rnacentral:tRNA from 1 species
UGCGCUCGUAGCUCAAUUGGAUAGAGCAUCUGACUACGGAUCAGAAGGUUAGGGGUUCGAAUCCUCUCGAGCGCGUCCA